UACGUAGGUGGCAAGCGUUGUCCGGAUUUAUUGGGUUUAAAGGGUGCGUAGGCGGUCCUGUAAGUCAGUUGUGAAAUACGGCAGCUUAACUGUCGAGGUGCAAUUGAUACUGCGGGACUAGAGUACUGAUGAGGUAAGCGGAAUGGACGGUGUAGCGGUGAAAUGCUUAGAUAUCGUCCAGAACACCGAUAGCGAAGGCAGCUUACUAAGGAGUAACUGACGCUGAGGCACGAAAGUGUGGGGAUCAAAC
rnacentral:rRNA from 1 species